rnacentral:rRNA from 1 species
UACGUAGGCAGCGAGCGUUGUUCGGAGUUACUGGGCGUAAAGCGUGCGUAGGCGGUGGCCCAAGUCUGGUGUGAAAUCUCCCGGCUCAACCGGGAGGGUGCGCCGGAAACUGGGUCGCUCGAGUACUGGAGAGGCAAGCGGAAUUCCUGGUGUAGCGGUGAAAUGCGUAGAUAUCUGGAGGAAUACCGGUGGCGAAGGCGGCAUCCUGGACCGGCAUUGACGCUGAGGAGCGAAAGCUAGGGGAGCAAACGGG